AUACUAAGCUGGCAGGGGAGAUACCAUGAAUCAUGAAGGCGGCUUUGCCAGGGCGAGGAUUAUCCCUUGCAUUCCGGAUGUACUUACCCCAGCGACUUCCCCAAAUGUGGGAAACUCGACUGUAUAGUUUGUGGUGGGUGGGGACAGUUUGCAAUCUCCCCUG